AGGUAAGGUACGUUAACAAUGCAUUUAGCUGAAACCACCACUGAAGUCUCAGCCAACAGCAUGGCAGCAUUAGGACUCCUAUGGCUUGUGAGCUCCAUAGCAUCCAUCCUUGUCAAAUGUGAAGAUGCAACAUCUGAACACAACAAGAUCUACCCAGCAAAGAUAUUUGGACCAUCUAGAAUCACUGAAGGGGUAGACAUCCAUUUUAAAUGUAGCACUACUGGUAUCAGAGGACCUGAGGACAAGUUAAAUUUUUACCUUUGCAAGAAUGGAGUUGGGAUAAGAAUUGCGCUGCAGGAGAAAGGUGAAGAUGAUGCUAUUUUCGACAUGAAGAAUGUCACACGAGAAGACUCAGGCAACUACAGCUGUGUGUACACCAGAGAUAAACUUGUACCCAGUCACUUGAGGUCAACAGGGGAUAAUUUAGUAGUCUUUCAGGUUGAUGGAGAACAGAAAGAGGGACUAAAGAAUAUGGGAGGACAAGGGAGAGCGGGACUGGCAGCAACCUUGGUCCUCCUGUUUCUGACGCUGUCUGUACUGCUGUUAGUGUGGAGGUACUGGGGAAUCCUGAAACAAAUGAUAAGUAUUGACCAUCAACCAAGUGAGAAUCAGGAUACGGAUCAAACAUACAGUCUAAUCUCAGUUGUACCAGUCACAACUGGUGUAAUUGAGGUCCCCUUUGAUGGUGAUGAAGGACACUAUUCUAUGAUAGGGCUGGAAUCGUCAGGGAGACUACGAAAGAAUCCUGAGCCCUUGGGUUCACAAGGUGUGUCAGGCAUGGGAUCGCUGGUUCAUCACUCUCCAACUGAUCCUACAGGAGAUGAGACUCUGUACAGCGUAAUAACUAGAGACCCAUGUCACACACCAGAUGGUUUCACUUCUACGUGACGCUCAUCCCUCAACUCAACAGUGCAGACGGCCGUCCCGCUAUCUGACGUACUCCAGCUACUGUAGUAUCAGGGGAAUGGAUGCUGUAUAUUAGACAAGCUCUCAAUACACACAUACAGAUGCACACUCCUCCACCCCUAUUAACCCUGACAUUAAACCUGAAGCAACAGUCUGAAGCUACCUUAGUUAGACGUAUGGCUGAGGCAGCCUCGCUGCUAGCCACUGUCUGUGGGGAGAGAACGAGAGAGAACAACAGCAGUGUGCUGGAUCUAUGUAGGUAGAGCUGCUGGGGCAGGGCUUGCAGUGUAGACACUUGGCUGUGGAUGGGCUACAGGCUGCAGGGAGUGUGCUGCUGGGGAAGACAACUGGUAGUGAUUAGUGAUUAGAC
ensembl:lncRNA